CAAGGAUGGCUUGGUGAGGAAACCCAUGCGUUGUUCUUUGCCUACCCUGGGGGACUGGUCCUUCUCUGUCUCUGGCAGAUAGGAUCGGUGGCCAGGUUUUUUUCAUCACCCACUGAUCUUGUGUUUCUGUGAUGAGACUAGAAGCCAAAGAAAGAGGCUGCCUGGAGAGGAAGGAAGAUUGCAGCAAGAUUGUCUGAGAACUUGCAGAACUUUGCAGCAUCUAGCAGAACAAAAUGGAAAGGUUUCGGCAGGAAAGGUUUCGGCAGGGUGGAAGACAGCUGCACCACAGGUGGAGGAGGAGAGAGCUUAAAUCCAGGAUCAUCUUCGUUGAGGAUCAUCCUGGUAGGGAAAACAGGCAGCGGGAGAAGUGCCACCGGGAACAGCAUCCUCUGCCAGCCCGUGUUUGAGUCCAAGCUGGGGGCCCAGUCGGUGACCAGGAAGUGUCAGAGGGCAACAGGCACGUGGAAUGGGAGGAGCAUCCUGGUGGUGGACACGCCC